AUUUAAAUAGUUUAUAUUUAAGAACAUAAUAUUGAAGAUAUUAAAGAGAUUAAUUUAAAUCUUUAAAUA
rnacentral:tRNA from 1 species